rnacentral:tRNA from 1 species
GUCCGGGUGGCGGAAUUGGCAGACGCGCUAGCUUGAGGUGCUAGUGCCUUCACGGGCGUGGGGGUUCAAGUCCCCCCUCGGACACCA